GAAAACAUUCCAUGUAGAGUCAUUGGGAUUAUACUCCAAGAAUCGUAGCCAAUGAAACCUUUUUUUAACUGCUUAAAUGGAUUGAAAUUUUAAUUUAUUUCAUACGGAAUAAGGAUAUAUAUUUUUUAACAAUCGAAGUAUAUUCUACUUGUUUUAGAAGUGAACACUCUUUUAUUGCCUAUUUCCGAACAUUGAGGACUGUUAGUUUUAAAAGCAAGCCUUAGUGUGCUUCUGUUAUUUUUAUCUGUGUGGAAUCUAAAUCAUAAGUUUUAUAUGUGAUUCAAUCAAAGAGUUAGUAUAUAAAAAAGUUAUAAUUCGCAAAAAUUCCGAAUGAAAGAAGAAAAAGAAUUAGCAAAUUUGGAAAAAUGCACUUGAAACAUUACGAUUACAGAAACAUGUUUUUAUGGGGUUAUGGUUACAUCAAAGAUUAUGUGUUUGUGCCCCCUAUGCAAUAUGAUUUAACAGAAUUACGAGGAAGGAUCGAAGCUUCAUUAGUCACCAUGAUGUAGUGAGUGUGGCAAGAGUUUGACUACAGGUUUGAAAUCUGUCUGUGACCCAAGGGACAUUGGUGAAAAAAAGAACUUGUGAUAUUUCUUUAUCAAAGUAAAAUUUGGUGUAUUCGUAAUAUUUCGCACGUUAUAAGCCUCCAAACCACGGAAGAAAUUGUAACUCUGUAUUUUAAUUUGAUAAAUUUGCAUUUUAAAGAGAUGCAUGCGUAAGCUCUUCAAUUAAUAGAACAAUAAUUUUCGAAACUAAACAAUUUAAGUAAUUAGCUUCAUUUUCGAUAUAAAAUAAUUUUGACUAGAUAAUUCUAACUUAGAUUUAUUUCAAGACCCACCUACACAGAAAGCCACGCCUAAGUUUUUAUGUAGGUCAAGUUUUAAUUCUUUUUUUUCAAGUUUUAUUCUUGCUUGUUACAAUGCAACUCAAAUAACUGUUAUUAUAAACUUUUAAAUUUUUUUUGAGUAUAUGUCAUAUAUUUGCUGGACCUUAAAUAAACUAAAACCAAUA